CAGCCGCCGCGGGAAUACGAAGGGGGCUAGCGUUGCUCGGAAUGACUGGGCGUAAAGGGCGCGUAGGCGGAUUGUUUAGUUAGGCGUGAAAUUCCUGGGCUUAACCUGGGGACUGCGCUUAAUACAGGCAGUCUAGAGUGAGGAAGAGGGUUGUGGAAUUCCCAGUGUAGAGGUGAAAUUCGUAGAUAUUGGGAAGAACACCAGUGGCGAAGGCGGCUCACUGGACCGACACUGACGCUGAGGCGCGAAAGCGCGGGGAGCAAACAGGAUUAGAUACCCGUGUAGUCCCUGUCUCUUAUAC
rnacentral:rRNA from 1 species